rnacentral:rRNA from 1 species
CAGUGGCGAACGGGUGAGUAACGCGUAAGUAACCUGCCCCUAAGUGGGGGAUAACUUCGGGAAACUGGAGCUAAUACCGCAUGUGGUCCUUCUGCAAAAGCGGAAGGAUUAAAGCCUUCGGGUGCUUGGGGAGUGGCUUGCGUCCGAUUAGCUUGUUGGUGAGGUAACGGCCCACCAAGGCAAUGAUCGGUAGCUGGUCUGAGAGGAUGGCCAGCCACACUGGGACUGAGACACGGCCCAGACUCCUACGGGAGGCAGCAGCAAGGAAUAUUGUGCAAUGGGCGAAAGCCUGACACAGCGACACCGCGUGGGGGAUGAAGGCCUUCGGGUUGUAAACUCCUUUUCUCAGGGAAGAAUAAUGACGGUACCUGAGGAAUAAGUCUCGGCUAACUACGUGCCAGCAGCCGCGGUAAUACGUAGGAGGCAAGCGUUAUCCGGAUUUAUUGGGCGUAAAGCGCGUGUAGGUGGCUCUUCAAGUCGGAUGAAAAAUCUCCCGGCUCAACUGGGAGGGACCAUUCGAUACUGCUGGGCUAGAGUGCAGCAGAGGGAGGUGGAAUUCCCGGUGUAGUGGUGAAAUGCGUAGAUAUCGGGGGGAACACCAGUGGCGAAGGCGACCUCCUGGGCUGCAACUGACACUGAGACGCGAAAGCGUGGGGAGCGAACAGGAUUAGAUACCCUGGUAGUCCACGCUGUAAACGAUGGACACUAGGUAUGGGGAGUAUCGACCCUCUCCGUGCCGAAGCUAACGCAUU